rnacentral:pre_miRNA from 1 species
UUAAGUCAAAUUUGUACGGAGUUGGAACGUUUGACUGUUUGUCGCUAGGGGCACUGUUCCAGCUGCAUACAAAUUUCAGGUA